CAUUCCGCGUGAGUGAAGAAGGCCUUCGGGUUGUAAAGCUCUUUCGGCAGGGAAGAAACGCUCUGGGUUAAUAACCCGGGGUAAUGACGGUACCUGAAGAAGAAGCACCGGCUAACUACGUGCCAGCAGCCGCGGUAAUACGUAGGGUGCGAGCGUUAAUCGGAAUUACUGGGCGUAAAGCGUGCGCAGGCGGUUUUGUAAGACAGGUGUGAAAUCCCCGGGCUUAACCUGGGAACUGCGCUUGUGACUGCAAGACUCGAGUACGGCAGAGGGGGGUGGAAUUCCACGUGUAGCAGUGAAAUGCGUAGAGAUGUGGAGGAACACCGAUGGCGAAGGCAGCCCCCUGGGUCGAUACUGACGCUCAUGCACGAAAGCGUGGGGAGCAAACAGGAUUAGAUACCCUGGUAGUCCACGCCCUAAACGAUGCCAACUAGUUGUUGGGGAAGGAGACUUCCUUAGUACCGUAGCUAACGCGUGAAGUUGGCCGCCUGGGGAGUACGGUCGCAAGAUUAAAACUCAAAGGAAUUGACGGGGACCCGCACAAGCGGUGGAUGAUGUGGAUUAAUUCGAUGCAACGCGAAAAACCUUACCUACCCUUGACAUGCCAGGAACUUGCCAGAGAUG
rnacentral:rRNA from 1 species